rnacentral:rRNA from 1 species
UACGGAGGGGGUUAGCGUUGUUCGGAAUUACUGGGCGUAAAGCGCACGUAGGCGGAUCAGAAAGUUGGGGGUGAAAUCCCGGGGCUCAACCCUGGAAUGGCCUUCAAAACUCCUGGUCUUGAGGUCGAGAGAGGUGAGUGGAAUUCCGAGUGUAGAGGUGAAAUUCGUAGAUAUUCGGAGGAACACCAGUGGCGAAGGCGGCUCACUGGCUCGAUACUGACGCUGAGGUGCGAAAGCGUGGGGAGCAAACAGG